rfam:Human poliovirus 2 strain EGY93-034, complete genome.
CACAGGACGCUAGUUGUGAACAAGGUGUGAAGAGCCUAUUGAGCUAAUUGAGAAUCCUCCGGCCCCUGAAUGCGGCUAAUCCCAACCACGGAGCAGGUGGUUACAACCCAGUAACUGGCCUGUCGUAACGCGUAAGUCUGUGGCGGAACCGACUACUUUGGGUGUCCGUGUUUCCUUUUAUUCCUAUAAUGGCUGCUUAUGGUGACAAUCACAGAUUGUUAUCAUAAAGCGAAUUGGAUUGGCCAUCCGGUG